GGUGGCACUGCAGUGUGACUGUGAACGAACGAAAGAGCCCAUUCCUUGUGCUGAUGCAGCUAGUUCCUACCAAAGAUAUGCAACUAUUGCCGUUGCCAGUAAGCUGUCAGAUAUGCAGCUGGGAGAGUCCGUAGACAUUGGACAGCUCACAAAGUAAGAGCAGAGAAAGGCCAGGUUGGAGUGUAAUCAAGAAUGUGCUACACUGCAGAG